UACGAAGGUUGCAAGCGUUACUCGGAAUUACUAGGCGUAAAGGGUAGGUAGGUGGUUUGGUAAGUCUAUUGUGAAAGCUCCCGGCUCAACUGGGAGAGGCCAAUGGAUGCUACCAGGCUUGAGUAUAGGAGAGGUUACUGGAAUUCCCGGUGUAGCGGUGAAAUGCGCAGAUAUCGGGAGGAACACCAAUGGCGAAAGCAGGUAACUGGACUAUUACUGACACUCAACUACGAAAGCUAGGGGAGCAAACAGG
rnacentral:rRNA from 1 species